UGCUGUACUUGAAGGGGUACAGUCAGUGCUGUUAUGAGACAGUCAGGUACCCAUAGCCAAAGACCACCUGCAGCGUACGUGAAGUCAACAAGUUGGAUUCAUCAGUCAUUGUACUGAGAAAGGCUGACCAUGGGACAUCUCAGUAAGAGAUUGCAGAGUGACCUUGUCUGAUGCUGAUGUUCUGUGAAAUUAUUUUUUUCGAAAGAAGAACAACAUGAUAGAGUGAUUCCCCGAGAAAAGUAAAGGAAUCUGUCUGUUGGGAUCCUUCCCUUGGCCAUCCUCAGGUUGAGUUUGAGCACAUGUUCCUGAAGAAUCCACAGGUUCAUCUUUAGACCCUUCAUCAUGAUGGACUAGAUAAAACAGCUUUCUCUGCCUCUAGGAAGAGCUGGCUUUCUCUACGUAUACAUUUUAAGUUAUGUUAUUCACACAAGUCUCUUGCUUAUUUUAGUGUCUCUGAAAUGGCCAGUACAAAGCAAAGCAUUUGGAAAGUAAAACUAGGACGUGUGAAAGAUGCAACAUUUCCUGAACCAAUGCAGAUGAUGCUCAAGUUCGCAGCAGAGUUUCAGUUCUGGAGGAAGGAAAGUAGACAUGGACGAUGCAACUGCCAGCGUUUAAUAACAAAACAGCAGGUCUGGGAAGCAGGUGCCGUGGUAACACACUGUUCAGCCAUGCUGGAUCCAAACUGACGACUGCAGGUCCCAUUUCCAGGUAGACCUGUAUCCAGGAUGCAGGCACACAUGAUCCCAACUGUCUGGGAAAAUUGUAUC